GACGAACGCUGGCGGCGUGCUUAACACAUGCAAGUCGAACGGAAAGGCCCUGCUUUUGUUGGGUUCUCGAUUGGCGAACGCGUGAGUAACACGUGAGUAACCUGCCCUUAACUUUGUGAUAACUUCAGGAAACUGGGGCUAAUACCGGAUAGGAGCUCCUGCUGCAUGGUGGGGGUUGGAAAGUGUCGGCUGUUGGGGAUGGACUCGCGGCUUAUCAGCUUGUUGGUGUGGUAGUUGCUUACCAAGGCUUUGACGGGUAGCCUGCCUGAGAGGGUGAACGGCCACAUUGGGACUGAGAUACGGAGCAGAAUGCUACGGGAGGCAGCAGUGGGGAAUAUUGCAGAGUGGGCGGAAGCCUGAUGUAGAAACGCCGCGUGCGGGAUGCCGGCCUUCGGGUUGUAAACAGCUUUGGACUGUGACGAAGCGUGAGUGACGGUAAUGGGUAAAGAAGCACCGGCUAACUACGUG
rnacentral:rRNA from 1 species